rnacentral:rRNA from 1 species
UGCCAGCCGCCGCGGUAAUACGGGGGGGGCAAGCGUUGUUCGGAAUUACUGGGCGUAAAGGGCGCGUAGGCGGGCAGGACAGUCUCUCGUGAAAUCCCACGGCUCAACCGUGGAAUUGCGGGAGAUACUACUUGUCUUGAGUUCGGGAGAGGAGUGUGGAAUUCCCAGUGUAGCGGUGAAAUGCGUAGAUAUUGGGAGGAACACCGGUGGCGAAGGCGGCACUCUGGACCGAUACUGACGCUGAGGCGCGAAAGCUAGGGGAGCAAACGGGAUUAGAUA